CAAACCGAUACAUACAAAAAGAAAAUUAGAAUUGAUCUAAUAAGAGAAAAACGCGUGAUAACAGCCAAAUCGCCUGAGGAAGCGUCGAGAAGUGGGGGAGCGGCGCGUGCGUUCUUCGUUGUUCUUUUUCUUUUUUUCUUUUUUUUUUU
rnacentral:ribozyme from 1 species